GACGAACGCUGGCGGCGUGCUUAACACAUGCAAGUCGAACGGAAAGGCCCUGCUUUUGCGGGGUGCUCGAGUGGCGAACGGGUGAGUAACACGUGAGUAACCUGCCCUUGACUUUGGGAUAACUUCAGGAAACUGGGGCUAAUACCGGAUAGGAGCUCCUGCUGCAUGGUGGGGGUUGGAAAGUUUCGGCGGUUGGGGGUGGACUCGCGGCUUAUCAGCUUGUUGGUGGGGUAGUGGCUUACCAAGGCUUUGACGGGUAGCCGGCCUGAGAGGGUGACCGGCCACAUUGGGACUGAGAUACGGCCCAGACUCCUACGGGAGGCAGCAGUGGGGAAUAUUGCACAAUGGGCGGAAGCCUGAUGCAGCAACGCCGCGUGCGGGAUGACGGCCUUCGGGUUGUAAACCGCUUUCGCCUGUGACGAAGCGUGAGUGACGGUAAUGGGUAAAGAAGCACCGGCUAACUACGUG
rnacentral:rRNA from 1 species